CCAAAAUGUAGACAUUUGUUGACUUUCGGACGUCACGUUUGACCAUCCGUCUUAUUCAAAAAAUUUUGUGAAUAUAUUAUUUAUUUUAUUAUAAUUUGUUUUAUCGUUAGGUAUACUUCAAGUAUGACUUAUUUGUUUUUAUAUUUCUAUAAAUUUUUUGAAUAGGACGGAUGGUCAAACGUGAUGCGCGGAAACCGAUAAAUAGCUAUAUU
rnacentral:pre_miRNA from 1 species